rnacentral:rRNA from 1 species
UACGAAGGGGGCGAGCGUUGUUCGGAAUUACUGGGCGUAAAGGGCGCGCAGGCGGCCUUAGAAGUCAGAUGUGAAAGCCCCGGGCUCAACCUGGGAAUGGCAUUUGAUACUCUGAGGCUGGAGUACGGGAGAGGAGAGUGGAAUUCCCAGUGUAGAGGUGAAAUUCGUAGAUAUUGGGAAGAACACCGGUGGCGAAGGCGGUUCUCUGGGCCUUACCUGACACUGAGGAGCGAAAGCGUGGGGAGCAAACAGG